rnacentral:rRNA from 1 species
GCUCAGAAACUCAAAGGAAUUGACGGGGCCCGCACAAGCGGAGGAACAUGUGGUUUUAAUUCGAUGAUACGCGAGGAACCUUACCUGGGCUUAAAUGGGGAGUGACAGCUGUCGAAAGAUGGUUUUCUUCGGACACUCUUCAAGGUGCUGCAUGGUUGUCGUCAGCUCGUGCCGUGAGGUGUCGGGUUAAGUCCCAUAACGAGCGCAACCCUUACCGUUAGUUACCAUCAGGUUAAGCUGGGGACUCUAGCGGGACUGCCACCGUAAGGUGAGAGGAAGGUGGGGAUGACGUCAAAUCAGCACGGCCCUUAUGUCCAGGGCUACACACGUGUUACAAUGGCCGGUACAAAGGGCAGCUACUUCGCGAGAAGAUGCUAAUCUCGAAAGCCGGUCUCAGUUCGGAUCGAAGUCUGCAACCCGACUUCGUGAAGCUGGAUUCGCUAGUAAUCGCGCAUCAGCCAUGGCGCGGUGAAUACGUUCCCGGGCCUU